rnacentral:rRNA from 1 species
AGUGAACGCUGGCGGUAGGCCUAACACAUGCGAGUCGAACGGCAGCACAGUAAGAGCUUGCUCUUACGGGUGGCGAGUGGCGGACGGGUGAGGAAUACAUCGGAAUCUACUUUUUCGUGGGGGAUAACGUAGGGAAACUUACGCUAAUACCGCAUACGACCUACGGGUGAAAGCAGGGGAUCUUCGGACCUUGCGCGAUUGAAUGAGCCGAUGUCGGAUUAGCUAGUUGGCGGGGUAAAGGCCCACCAAGGCGACGAUCCGUAGCUGGUCUGAGAGGAUGAUCAGCCACACUGGCACUGAGACACGGUCCAGACUCCUACGGGAGGCAGCAGUGGGGAAUAUUGGACAAUGGGCGCAAGCCUGAUCCAGCCAUACCGCGUGGGUGAAGAAGGCCUUCGGGUUGUAAAGCCCUUUUGUUGGGAAAGAAAAGCAGCAGGUUAAUACCCCGCUGUUCUGGCGGUACCCAAAGAAUAAGCACCGGCUAACUUCGUG